UACGAAGGGUGCAAGCGUUACUCGGAAUUACUGGGCGUAAAGCGUGCGUAGGUGGUUCGUUAAGUCUGUCGUGAAAGCCCCGGGCUCAACCUGGGAAUGGCGAUGGAUACUGGCGGGCUAGAGUGCGGUAGAGGAGAGUGGAAUUUCCCCGGUGUAGCAGUGAAAUGCGUAGAGAUCGGGAGGAACAUCAGUUGCGAAGGCGGCUCUCUGGACCAGCACUGACACUGAGGCACGAAAGCGUGGGGAGCAAACAGG
rnacentral:rRNA from 1 species